CCCUUAGAUGUUCUGGGCUGCACGCGCGCUACACUGAAGCGUUCAACGAGUAUUUCACCUUGCCCGGGAGGGUUGGGUAAUCUUUUUAAAACGCUUCGUGAUGGGGAUAGAUUAUUGCAAUUAUUAAUCUUCAACGAGGAAUUCCUAGUAAGCGCGAGUCAUCAGCUCGUGCUGAUUACGUCCCUGCCCUUUGUACACACCGCCCGUCGCUCCUACCGAUUGAAUGGUCCGGUGAAGCGUUCGGACCGUGGCCUUUGGACGGUUCGCCGUCUGUUGGCUGCGGGAAGUUCGUUAAACCUUAUCAUUUAGAGGAAGGAGAAGUCGUAACA
rnacentral:rRNA from 1 species